rnacentral:rRNA from 1 species
CCUACGGGAGGCAGCAGUGAGGAAUAUUGGGCAAUGGAGGAAACUCUGAACCAGCCAUGCCGCGUGAGUGAAGAAUGCUCUAGAAGUUGUAAGCUUCUUCUGUAGUGAAGUUGAAUGUUCCAAGAUUUGAAUUAUCUAUGUAACAUUUCAUUCCAGAUCGGCUAACUCUAUGCCAGCAGCCGCGGUAAUACGGAGUUUCUGGGCGUUAUGCGGAUGUAGUGGGGGUAAAGGGAGCGUAGGUGGAUAAGUAAGGUAGUUGUGAAAGUUCGCGGCUCAACCGGGAAACUGCAGUUAAAACUAGUAGUCUAGAGUAUAGGAGAGGAUAUCGGAAU